rnacentral:rRNA from 1 species
AACGAACGCUGGCGGCAGGCUUAACACAUGCAAGUCGAACGCAUCCUUCGGGGUGAGUGGCAGACGGGUGAGUAACGCGUGGGAACGUGCCCUUCAGUUCGGGAUAACCCAGGGAAACUUGGGCUAAUACCGGAUACGUGCGAGAGCAGAAAGAUUGAUCGCUGAAGGAUCGGCCCGCGUCUGAUUAGCUAGUUGGUGGGGUAAUGGCACAACAAGGCGACGAUCAGUAGCUGGUCUGAGAGGAUGAUCAGCCACAUUGGGACUGAGACACGGCCCCAACUCCUACGGGAGGCAGCAGUGGGGAAUAUUGGACAAUGGGCGCAAGCCUGAUCCAGCCAUGCCGCGUGAGUGAUGAAGGCCUUAGGGUUGUAAAGCUCUUUCGUCCGGGACGAUAAUGACGGUACCGGAAGAAGAAGCCCCGGCUAACUUCGUGCCAGCCGCCGCCGUAA